UAUACAACAGACGUCGUGAAU
rnacentral:snRNA from 1 species